AACUUUCGGCAAUGGAUCACUUGGCUCCGGCAUCGAUGAAGAACGCAGCGAAAUGCGAUAAGUAAUAUGAAUUGCAGAAUUCAGUGAAUCAUCGAGUCUUUGAACGCACAUUGCGCCCGCCAGUACUCUGGCGGGCAUGCCUGUCCGAGCGUCAUUUCAACCCUCGAGCCCAGCUCGGCGUUGGGGCAGGCGGGACCGGCGGCGCCCCCUCCGGGGGGCACGCCAGCCCGCCGCCCUCAAAUACAGUGGCGGCCGCCGUUGGGAUGCCCUCUGCGUAGUAGCAAGCCUCUCGCACCGGAAACCCGCGGACGGCCCGCCCCUAACCCCAAGCGCUCGCCCCUCGCGGCAGCACCACAGGUUGACCUCGGAUCAGGUAGGAAUACCCGCUGAACUUAAGCAUAUCAAUAAGCGGAGGCU
rnacentral:misc_RNA from 1 species